UGCAGUCGAGCGAGGCUCCUCCUUCGGGAGGAUGUCCUAGCGGCGAACGGGUGAGUAACACGUGGGCAACCUGCCCCUAGCACUGGGAUAACCCCGGGAAACCGGAGCUAAUACCGGAUACGACCACAGUUGGCAUCAACCUGUGGUGGAAAGAUUUAUCGGCUAGGGAUGGGCCCGCGGCCUAUCAGCUUGUUGGUGGGGUAGUGGCCCACCAAGGCGACGACGGGUAGCCGGCCUGAGAGGGCGACCGGCCACACUGGGACUGAGACACGGCCCAGACUCCUACGGGAGGCAGCAGUGGGGAAUAUUGCUCAAUGGGCGCAAGCCUGAAGCAGCGACGCCGCGUGAGGGAUGAAGGCCUUCGGGUUGUAAACCUCUUUCAGCUCCGACGAAGCGAAAGUGACGGUAGGAGCAGAAGAAGCACCGGCCAACUACGUGCCAGCAGCCGCGGUAAUACGUAGGGUGCAAGCGUUGUCCGGAAUUAUUGGGCGUAAAGAGCUCGUAGGCGGUUUGUCACGUCGGCUGUGAAAUCCCGAGGCUCAACCUCGGGUCUGCAGUCGAUACGGGCAGACUAGAGUACUGCAGGGGAGACUGGAAUUCCUGGUGUAGCGGUGGAAUGCGCAGAUAUCA
rnacentral:rRNA from 1 species